UACGUAGGGGGCUAGCGUUGUCCGGAUUUAUUGGGCGUAAAGAGCGUGUAGGCGGCCAGGUAGGUCUGCUGUGAAAACUCGAGGCUCAACCUCGAGACGUCGGCGGAAACCAUCUGGCUAGAGUCCGGAAGAGGAGAGUGGAAUUCCUGGUGUAGCGGUGAAAUGCGCAGAUAUCAGGAAGGACACCCGUGGCGAAGGCGGCUCUCUGGGACGGUACUGACGCUGAGACGCGAAAGCGUGGGGAGCGAACAGG
rnacentral:rRNA from 1 species